AUUUUCUAAUAAGUGGAGAUAUUUAUUAGAUCUGACAUUGAUUGAGAGCCCACAACAGGGUUUGGCUGAGAUAAAUAAAAGCUGCCUCAAAACCCCAACCCUGCAGGGUUUGUACCCAGGUGUGGGUCUUUCUUGGAAAUGGUGGGUUCCUGUCAUUUCAGGACUGAUCUACAUCUGUAGUACUCAAGAGCAGAUCAGCCUCAAGGGUGGUUCUCAGGGAUUCAUUAUCUGGCUCUUUUCAUUAGAGAGUAAUUUUAUGGUCGUCUGUGUGAAGCAAUAAUGUCCACUUGAAGGCUUAGUGCAUUUCCUCACUUCUCAUCUGAUUCUGCUCUUUGGCAGCAGAGGAUGCUGUGAAGCUGCAGAAGCUCUGGGAGUAUGAAGGGAAGGAGAUCUCUGAGCUGGACUCUUUUCUGCCAUCAUCUGGAGGGCAGGAUCUUUUUGAGGCCUGUGGGAGGACAGGAUGUGCCAGGAGACCUGAACCACUGGUGAUACAAGCGAGCACAGCAUCUGCUGUUUCAAGGAGAGUGCUGUGGCUGAGGGAGAAGGGCACUACCAUCCUUAUGGGCUGUGCCACUGUAGCCGUUUAUACAGACUAACUGUAAUGUUCGCUGUUAUGAAAGUCCACUCUGAAGCCAAAAUACACACCCUUACUUCUUCCCUGGAAUAAUCGUACAGUUCGCUGCAGUCUUCAAGAUACAAAAAAUCAGGGAAUCUCACAGUCUACACUUGCGGAUCACACUUCUGUAAGAAACAUGUAAGUAAACAUUGUAUACUAUUCAGCUUUUUUUUAACAGUUGCAGUUAUUAAAAUAGAAAUUUUAGUCAAAAUGUAGCUGCAGCAGUGCCACUGCCCACUCUGGCAUCAGCAGGGAGGGUUUCAAAGCAAGUGUGGAGAAUCAACAGGAGAGACAGUUUUAGGACGGGGAAGGCAGUUUCCGUGGAAAUAGGUGCUAUGCUCACCCUUGCUGACAAGGAAGAUGACCAGUAUAAGAAUCAGAGUACAGCAAAGGAGUG